AUUGAACGCUGGCGGAAUGCUUUACACAUGCAAGUCGAACGGCAGCACGGGUGCUUGCACCUGGUGGCGAGUGGCGAACGGGUGAGUAAUGCACCGGAACGUAUCCAAUAAUGGGGGAUAACGCACCGAAAGGUGUGCUAAUACCGCAUACGCCCUGAGGGGGAAAGCGGGGGAUCGUAAGACCUCGCGUUAAUGGAGCGGCCGAUGCCGGAUUAGCUAGUUGGUGAGGUAAAGGCUCACCAAGGCGACGAUCCGUAGCUGGUCUGAGAGGACGACCAGCCACACUGGAACUGAGACACGGUCCAGACUCCUACGGGAGGCAGCAGUGGGGAAUUUUGGACAAUGGGCGCAAGCCUGAUCCAGCCAUUCCGCGUGAGUGAAGAAGGCC
rnacentral:rRNA from 1 species